GUAGAAAACAUGACUUGAGAUUCCUGUGGUUUUAUUAAAUAUAAAAGAGAAGCAUACAGGAUUUCGCUUUGGCGCCAUUUUUGACACUGGAUUAUAAUGUUUAGAUAGCUUCUGAGUUAUACACGACAGUGGAAUAAAAACCUUGGGCUUUUUGCAAAUUCCUGUCCAAACACACUGGAACCUUAAAUAAUAUGACUCGGGUACCCUGUGGUUUUAGGCUGAAUUAGCUGGAGUCCCUUGCAACAAAUGGGAAGUAUGUUUGUAGAAUGUUUCCAUGCUCGUAUUGUAUGUUUUGCAUGCUUAAUAAAUUAUUUUUUAAAAUUCAUACUCAUAUGGUUUUUCGCCCGAAAUAGAAAAACGCAAAUUAUUCAAAACGUAUACCACAAUUCGCCUCCAUUAACUAAUAGGCGUUGUUCAGGAGACCAAUGUCUACUCAAAUCUGCUUUCAAACCUUCUCUAACUCUCGACUUAUGCGAAACCCCUAUUUUCCGGCUUCUGCCACCAGGCUACCAGAACUCAGUCGAAUAAUGGCGUCGUCAAUCGAAAGUACCAGGCCAAGAGGCUUGGAGCUCACAGACCCCAGUGAAAAUCAAGAGUUCAACAGAAGAAGACAAAAAGGAGUUUGAGAUGGUUUUUGAGGAAGGUGGAUGCGAGUUUCCGCCAUAUCACUAUCAGAGUGCAUGGCGAACCGAUCGUUGAAGGCCCAUCUGGUGAAAAGGAGACACAGCCAAAGCUUUUCAUAAUACUAUAAAGCACUGUGAAAAUACACAAAUGUGAGUUUAGUCUUCUAUGGUGAACUCCAGCCGUAAGGAAGUUGAUUCUGAACUUGUAAAAGGCGAAAUCAUUAAAAAAAACCCUUGACAUUACAGAACUACGAUUUACAAAUGGAAUUGGAAGUGUUGUUUUCAACUCUGAAUGGGAAACUGAAAGAAGAUGACUCAACUUUAGAGGUACUUGUCGAUGAAGUAGCAUAGGUUGAUAAAUAUGGACUCGCAUGAAUCUAGCAUGGAGAAGUGGGAUUGAGGUAAAUAAAAAUGUUUUUUAUUUAUCGGUAGAUAGCUUUCGUACGUUUUGUUCGCCGUAGAGAUUGUCAAAACAAUUCGUACAUUCGAAUUUGCCUGUUCUGUUCCCUGUAUUUCCUAUUUUAUUUCGAAUCAAAUCAGAUUAAAGCUUGGCAUACUAAAUAAAAUAGGCAAACCCUGUUUCAUGUGAGUAUUAAUAGAUUAACACAUUAAAAUAUUUGUAAUUGAUUUUACGGCAAACUUUCAUUCAACCAACGCGCUCUAUUGCUAUUGUUAUUAACUUUUCCCGCUUGAAAUCUUCUCAAAUUUCAUUUUUCAAUUUUUGUCAUGUUCUCGAUAUUAUUAUAAAAGUAAUAAAAUGACUUGUACAACUCUUUAGAUUCCGGUUCCAGCCAUUGGAAAUUUGUUCCUUUCUUGUUGAUCUCAUUGGAUUUUGUUGUUGAACUAUUCAUUGCCUCGAUCGGAGAAAGUCGAAGUCAGAGGAAAAUAAUCUAUCAGUGAAAUCUUAACACAUAAAAAUCCGAGGUGGCCGUAUAAUAACUAUCGGCGUGAGUGCUGUGGACGAAUACAAUGUUGCCAUUUGUAUUGCAUUUUCGAAAAAACUGUUUUAAAAGAUUGUGCUUUUAUUACCAUGCUGUGAAGAAUUUGUUUGGUAAAUCUGACCGCGUAUAUCUUUUGAGGCCAAAUGAGUUGCCGUUGUGUGAAAUACUUGCUUAUUCAUUUUUGCGUUUUGUAUUUUUGAACAAAAAAAAAGGAAUCAAUGAAAAAGAAAUGACCACUAAAGCCAGGCUGAUUCUGUUUUAUUACAUUCUUUAACUUAUAUUUAAAUAACAUCUAUAGUAAGAAAAACAACUCAACCUCAAAACUUGCUGUGACUCGCACAGUCUGUCACAGCGUAAUUGUCGUAAAUUUGUAUACUUAGUACAUGCGUUCCCGUGCGAGCUUUUUCUGUUAUGUUCUCUUUUCUUUCCCGAUGCAGUGUUGGAAGAGGUCCCCUCUAUACUCCUUUUGAAUUUCGGGGCCUUAGCAUCAGCGAGAUUCAGGUUUGAUCGCUUGAAUCAUUCAUCGGCGAAAUGGCUCGGACAAUGAGCGGUGGCGCUUCCGAUGGAGAACUCCUUUCGCUUUGUCCCGACGAAUCGGGCCAAUUUUUUCCUAAUUUCCGGGUCUUUUGUAGAUGCAUGUAUUGACACAUGUGUUGUAUAGUGGUUGUUGGAGCAGACAAUGGCUGCGCAAGUACUGCCCGGCUUUUUUGACGAGUAUGCCGUCAUUUUAAAACGAAGUUGCUAUCGCUUAAAACAAUUUUGAGAAGUUGUACCAAGACGUCAUAAUUUGUCGUCAUUGUGACGUCAUAAGCCCGUCUUUGACCGAGCAAAACGCGAGGCAGUUUGCAAUGGCAAAACAACUACUUCGCGCGUGUUUUGUAAAAAAUGAAAAACCUUGGACGGGCUUUAUUUUAGGUAACUGUCUACCUUAAAGCAUCAAUAAGUGGGAAAAACAAGUUAUUCUACAGUUCAUCCUUUCUUUUAGAAGAAAGAGCUUCGCAAGCUCCUCAGCGAUGAAAAGGCGCGAAGUAGCCACCUCGAUGUCGCAUUUUAUAAAGCUGCGGUAGACGAAUUGUUUGUUACUAGGGACAAACAGCAAACUUUCGUGUCUUUUAAUAAGCUUGGAUGAAAAACGGGAAUGACAAAAUACUCGUUAUGUGUAUUUUGAACGAAAAUGACAUAAAUGUAACCAAAAUGUCGUCAUUCUCUACAGAUUCUGGCUCCAGGUUUGUACCCGCAUUGUACUUUGGGAACAGAUCAGCCAUCCAGCUAUACUUUGAAUAUUGCUUCCAGUUCAUUAGCAACUAUGGAAGGGGUGGACUGUUGAUGUGUACGCAAUCGUUUGGAGAGGGUUCCUACUAAAGGAUCUGCAAUGCAACGGAGAGAAAGAUCGAAUCUGUGUUCCUUCUACCACUACUAAAGAAACGGCUCACAGAGCACGGGUCAGAUCAUGCCGAGCAUUCGAGCCGCCAGUCGAUUCCCAAGGAUCACAAGAGAGUAUGUCAAUGGAUUAAGAAGUAGAACAUGACGACAGGGGAGCUGGAGCCGGAUCCCAAGCCGAGACAGAGAGCAUUAUCAUGAAGGCCAGCAAGCACCGAAGAGACCCAAACGUUUCAGAUGUCUUCUGUUAUCCGCAAAUUCCUGUCGCUUUCCGUACAUAUUUGCAGCAGCUGACUUGGGCACCAGAAAUGAUAUUCCAUACCGCUGAGGGAAGUACCGAGGUCAUGGCAGCGAGAGUGUCACGAAUGAUAACUGGUAUCUGUAGACAUGAUGAGGCGUAUGGCUUAGUUCAGCACCUAGAAAAAGCCCGUCAGAUUGACACCCUGAGCGCAUAAAGGAACCAAAAUGCCUAUUCCCCUAUCCACUGAUCAUGGUGGGUCUGUGAAUCCACCGUUGGAGUGACGUCAUCAGAGUUUUUUGACAUGUUCAGACUUGCCAAAACUGGAAAUGGGAAUUGCCCAAACUGGAAUUGUUCAAUUAUUGCGCCAUUUAUUUGAGUAAUAUAACUGUCGUUUCCUAUACUAUGCGUUGCUUUUUUAACUAAUUGUAAGUUACUUGUGACAAGCACAAGUUAUUAUGGAAGCUCACUGCGUCGCUCCCUUCGGUGAUAGCAAGUUAUGUUAUACACAUUGAGAAUUAAAAGCAAAUCUGAUAUUAA